CAAAAGCCGCGGCUCGGAAGUUGUUGAGGCCUGGGGCGGGGUUAAGGGCGGGAACGAGACUGGGGGCGUGGCUGGAGAUUAGGACCAAGCUCCUGCAGCCUGAAUUGACACUUCCUCCACAUAUAUAACACUCAUUUUUAAAGUUGCCAAGUCAUAAGGGUAGUAAAUUUAUUCAAACACUCCUGUAUUGAUGAGUAUUCAGCUUGCUUCCAGAGUAACAUAUGUUCAUUGUCGAUAACUGGGAAAACACCAAAAGCACCAAAAAGAGGAAUAUGGACUCAGCAAUUCCGCUGUCUAGUGGUCAACACCAUCAACGCCUGGUGUGACCUAGUUUUUCUAUGCGAAUGCAAAGAUGUGCUCUUUCUAAACUUCCCCAGGCACAUCAGUCCCUUCAAGCUUACCCCUUACCUUCCAUCUCCCUUCUUGCCCCACCUAUUCUUCUGGAUAAGGAAAAGAAGAAUCAGAGAGGGGAAGUGUUGAGAUCAUGUGUGUGCAUGUUUGCAUGCUAAGCCGCUUCAGUCGUGUCUGACUCUUUGCAACUCCAUGGACUGUAGCCCACCAGGCUCCUCUGUCCAUGGGAUUCUCCAAGCAACAAUACUGGAAUGGGUUGCUAUUUCCUUUCUCCAGGGGAUCUUCCCAACCCAGGCAGGUGUAUUCUUUACCACUAGCGCCAUCUGGGAAGCCCGUUGAGACCAUGCAGCUUAAUAUUAAGGAAUGAGGCUGAGGUUUCGAUUCAUCAUCUGGAUCUGUGUCUGCAAUCUGAAUAAACUUUCCAUUAAGAUUCCCUGCCCUCUGAAGCUCACUCAGUGGGAUUCUGCAGAGGUUGGAGAAAUAACAGAUUUCUGCCCUGAGGCAGAAAAAAGAAAAAGUCCUGAGGCAGGAAGGCCCCUGAGUCUAGUGUUUGGGGUGGUACUUCUUGAGCCAGUUCCUUAAGUCAGAGCAGCCCCGACAGGGUCGCAGAGCAUUCCUUUCCCCAGGAAGGUAUCGCACGUCUUCUGCCUAAUCUCACAUCCUAUUUUGAGAAGGUGGAUUGGGUGAAUCAGAGGUUGCUGGCCCCUUUUCAGAAUGAAUCCUUUUAGGCUCGUCAAACUAGGAGAAUCCUGUCUGCUGAGAAGAAACAGUUCAAUAGUGAGUUCGACAGGCAGGUUGUACUUAGGAAGGGGUGUUCCCUGUCCCACCAGCCCUGGGGAACCAGAUCAGUCCAGGGGCUGCUCUGGGGCUGAAAAGCAAGCUUGGGAUUUGAUACACAGUGCCCU